rnacentral:lncRNA from 1 species
UGGCCGAUGGAGACUAUUUAGCCGCGCCCGCGGCCCCUCCCACGUGACCCUCCCGCGCCGAGCAUCCUGGGACUUGUAGUUUUCCGAAGGCAGCAGAGCCCGGAAAGCCCCGAGGCCGGGGGCGGCCGAGGCCGCAAUUCCCGUCACGGAGUGCGCCCUCUAGCGCGGGGCGGAAGACCCGCGAAGUGUUCAAGCGGCCGCAGAGCGGCCCAGAGUUCGCAGGUCUGGGGCUCUCUUCCCAGAGAGCUCGUAGGGGAGGACAGUCAAGGGACUCAAGCGUCUCUCUUGACUCCCCUUCUCUCGCUGUGCAGUGGCGGUGCCGAGGGGCCGACGCUCAGGGCUAAUCUCUAUCAGUCACCCUCGAGGCCCCGGGUAAUAUUGGGUGGAUCACAAGAACUAAUCUUUCAUGAUUUGGAAACUGGAAGGAAAGAAGCACUUUUGUAGCUGACUCACCUCAAUGGCAUGACCAGUGUCUGAGCCUACAACUGCGCUACCUUCUCUGGAUUUUUCUUCACCUUUUCCUCAUUCACGAGCCAGAACUGCAUGUCCAAGGAGUUAUACAUUUGCUAGAAGGGGAUGACCAAUUCAGCUCUGAGUUUCCUGGGAGCCAAAGCCAAGAGCUCCAUGUCCACAAAAUCGAAGACCAAGUACUCAGAAGAACAGCUUUUCCUGAUACAAGUAGUUAAGAGAAGCUUUCUCCAGGAACCCUCAUAGAGACAACCUUGCAUGAUGCAGUGGACAGCACCCUUAGCAUGCUCCACAAGGGUCAUUCUGCAGUCUCUUUCAGCACUGGAUAACGGCACUCUGUCUCAAAGGUAGACUCUAAGACCCAUGUGGGCAGAGAGGAGAGUUCUCACCUGGAGUUCAGCAUGGUGGACUUGGGCCGCAGCCGUGGCCACCUGGUCCUCCAGAUCCGCCAGAUGGGUCUCAUCAGUGCCGCUGUGGAUGCAGCGGGCGGCAUCUUCUAGCUCAGUCAGCUGGGUCUCCAGUCCAUACACAGUGCCUGCUGCCAGACAAAGCAAGAUGAAAAAGCUCCAAGCCCUCAGCAAGGCCAGAAUGUUCAUGUUUUACUCUGUGUUCACUAAAAGCCUACUUUCCUGGCACCAGGAGGCAGAAGAGAUUUAGUGGUUUGGCACUGAUACCAGCUGAACAGGAAUUUACAGCCAAAGUGAUGGUGCCUAAAGGACUGGAGGAGGAGGAGGAGGAGGAUGAUGAUGAUGAUGGUGGGGAUGAUGAUGAUGAUGAUGAUGAUGAUGAUGAUGACAGCAUUAAUUUAUUGAGCCAGUGGCUAAGCCAAGGGUUUUAUGUGACUUAUAUAUGCUCAUAGCA